GUUAAGUUGCAGGGUAUAGACCCGAAACCCGGUGAUCUAGCCAUGGGCAGGUUGAAGGUUGGGUAACACUAACUGGAGGACCGAACCGACUAAUGUUGAAAAAUUAGCGGAUGACCUGUGGCUGGGGGUGAAAGGCCAAUCAAACCGGGAGAUAGCUGGUUCUCCCCGAAAGCUAUUUAGGUAGCGCCUCGUGAAUUCAUCUCCGGGGGUAGAGCACUGUUUCGGCUAGGGGGCCAUCCCGGCUUACCAACCCGAUGCAAACUGCGAAUACCGGAGAAUGUUAUCACGGGAGACACACGGCGGGUGCUAACGUCCGUCGUGAAGAGGGAAACAACCCAGACCGCCAGCUAAGGUCCCAAAGUCAUGGUUAAGUGGGAAACGAUGUGGGAAGGCCCAGACAGCCAGGAUGUUGGCUUAGAAGCAGCCAUCAUUUAAAGAAAGCGUAAUAGCUCACUGGUCGAGUCGGCCUGCGCGGAAGAUGUAACGGGGCUAAACCAUGCACCGAAGCUGCGGCAGCGAACGUAUCACCCAAGACAACUUUGCGGAGUUGACGAUUGACGGAGCGAAGCGACGUCAAAGCGUUCAUUAAAGUCGAGUUGGCUUAGGGAUACGUUCGUUGGGUAGGGGAGCGUUCUGUAAGCCUGUGAAGGUGGCCUGUGAGGGUUGCUGGAGGUAUCAGAAGUGCGAAUGCUGACAUAAGUAACGAUAAAGCGGGUGAAAAGCCCGCUCGCCGGAAGACCAAGGGUUCCUGUCCAACGUUAAUCGGGGCAGGGUGAGUCGACCCCUAAGGCGAGGCCGAAAGGCGUAGUCGAUGGGAAACGGGUUAAUAUUCCCGUACUUGGUGUUACUGCGAAGGGGGGACGGAGAAGGCUAUGUUGGCCGGGCGACGGUUGUCCCGGUUUAAGCGUGUAGGUGUGUGUUCCAGGUAAAUCCGGUUCACUUUAACACUGAGGCGUGACGACGAGGCACUACGGUGCUGAAGCAACAAAUGCCCUGCUUCCAGGAAAAGCCUCUAAGCAUCAGGUAACAUCAAAUCGUACCCCAAACCGACACAGGUGGUCAGGUAGAGAAUACCAAGGCGCUUGAGAGAACUCGGGUGAAGGAACUAGGCAAAAUGGUGCCGUAA
rnacentral:rRNA from 1 species